rnacentral:rRNA from 1 species
ACGAACGCUGGCGGCAUGCCUAACACAUGCAAGUCGAACGAAGCCUUCGGGCUUAGUGGCGCACGGGUGCGUAACGCGUGGGAACCUGCCUUUAGGUUCGGAAUAACUCUCCGAAAGGGGUGCUAAUACCGAAUAAUGUCUUCGGACCAAAGAUUUAUCGCCUUUAGAGCGGCCCGCGUCUGAUUAGCUUGUUGGUGAGGUAAUGGCUCACCAAGGCUACGAUCAGUAGCUGGUCUGAGAGGAUGACCAGCCACAUUGGGACUGAGACACGGCCCAAACUCCUACGGGAGGCAGCAGUGGGGAAUCUUGCGCAAUGGGCGAAAGCCUGACGCAGCCAUGCCGCGUGUAUGAUGAAGGUCUUAGGAUUGUAAAAUACUUUCACCGGUGAAGAUAAUGACUGUAGCCGGAGAAGAAGCCCCGGCUAACUUCGU